UACGACGGGUGCCAACGUUGCUCGGAAUUAUUGGGCGUAAAGCGCACGUAGGCGGCAUUGCAAGUCGGAUGUGAAAUCCCUCGGCUUAACCAAGGAAGUGCAUCCGAAACUGCAGUGCUUGAGUACUUAAGAGGAUCGCGGAAUUCCCGGUGUAGAGGUGAAAUUCGUAGAUAUCGGGAGGAACACCAGUGGCGAAGGCGGCGAUCUGGGAAGAUACUGACGCUGAGGUGCGAAAGCGUGGGGAGCAAACAGG
rnacentral:rRNA from 1 species